CCUACGGGUGGCAGCAGUGAGGAAUAUUGGUCAAUGGGAGGAAUCCUGAACCAGCCAUGCCGCGUGCAGGACGACGGCUCUACGAGUUGUAAACUGCUUUUGUACCGGGGUAAAAUGCUCUACGAGUAGGGUUUUGAAAGUACGGUACGAAUAAGGAUCGGCUAACUCCGUGCCAGCAGCCGCGGUAAUACGGAGGAUCCGAGCGUUAUCCGGAUUUAUUGGGUUUAAAGGGUGCGUAGGCGGGCAUUUAAGCCGGCGGUCAAAUGUCGGGGCUCAACCCCGGCCUGCCGUCGGAACUGGGUGCCUUGAGUGGGCGAGAAGUAUGCGGAAUGCGUGGUGUAGCGGUGAAAUGCAUAGAUAUCACGCAGAACCCCGAUUGCGAAGGCAGCAUACCGGCGCCCUACUGACGCUGAGGCACGAAAGUGCGGGUAUCGAACAGGAUUAGAUACCCCGGUAGUC
rnacentral:rRNA from 1 species